GUUACGAAAGCAUUCAGACGUGUAGCUAUGUCAGGAGAUGUCUGCGUGUAAACGAGCGAAAACACGAACCGAUCAGCCGAUAGCAACUGGAAUUGAAACCCGAAAUAAUUAAAUUAUCGGGCAGCAUCGCGAAACAAUUUUCGGCCAAUAUUGACUUGUCCAAUGAGUUCCAAGUCAACGGACAUUCGCUGUGUUUCCAGCAGCUCUCACCCAACGAGCAAAGCGAGACCAGAGGUCUAGGAGCCAAAAGGAAAGGAAUGAAGUCAAAUCGAAUUCUUAACCCUAAUAGAAUCAUUAAACCCGAGACAGCGAGCCGGGAAAUCUUUAGCUUUAACGGUUCUAACCCUAUGAAAAAAGGAACAAGUGAAUUAAUUACACAAUAAAAAGACCCGCUGCGAAGAAUAUUGAGCCUCUUAAGCUAACUAUCUCCGAAAACGGCGCAUUUCAUGGAGUAUUUUGCUUAAACGUUCUACUUUUCUAAUUCUUGGAACCCACCCAUACAGAAACUUCAUCCAUUCGAGCUGGGAGAUGGCGCUCACUGAAUCCAAGUAUUGUCUUGGCUAAGCGCUAGUAUAAUGCCUCGCGUCAUUUCUAAACGCAGCUAAUGGGGCUUUCCCGAGCAGCCGUCACUUGCAGCUUGCACUUUAAUGCAUUUUAUAUAACUAUUAGCUAUGUGUUAACUAUUUCACUGGAACAUUAUUAACACUGUAUCUACUUUCUAUUGAAACGGUUCCAUACAAUGUUGAAUAAAUAUGUAAUUAUUUUAUUUUUAUUCUCAAGGGAAAAAUAAAUUACUUAGAACAUUGUAAGGCCGUUUACAUACGACGCGGCGUCAGGAUUUGUCAUCCGCCAAAAAACCGGACCGCAGAGAAAUAACGCCGUUAAUUGUGAUUCAGAUAAAAAUGAUAUUUUUGGAGAAGUGCAAAUAAAAAAAACAAAGCAUACCCCAUAACUGGACGCUAAAUGUUGCGUGGACUAAGUUGUAUUGCGUGAUGGACGCUGCGCCACGUGUACACACGGCCUAAGUAUGCAACCGCAAUGUUCAAUAGGUAUGUCGGAAUUCAUGUGUCUUUCAAGAGACUUCAUUAUCAUAAUAAUUAGAUCAGUUCUAUCAGAUAAUGAGCACACAGGUAAUGAGUAACCACAUAAAUUAUGUACAUAAAAAAUUCAAACAUUCAAAAUAUUGACAUAAUUUUAAAGAAAUAACUAAAGCGACUACAGCAUAAGGGCAUGUUGGUUAAAAACAUCAAGGACCGACACGCAGAACGAACGAUGAUGAAAUGAACUAGAUAUUUACUAGCGACAGUACGUACAAUAAUCUUCAUAGCGCUCGUUUGGAAAUACGAGGGCCUACGUCGCGCCUAUAAAAUAUGCAAAGCUUUCCAACGGAUAUUGAUGGCUUGCCCCAAUUAUACGAGCAGACCGGCGGUGGCAAGUUAGUGCUUCAUUUUACAAUUAAAUUUGCAACUGUAAAAUGAAGCAAAAGCAAGUGUAAGUAAUGAAAAGAGAUUGUGGAAUUAAAAAACAAAUAAAUGAUUAGCGUGCUCUAAAAAUAAUUUGUGUAAUUGAUUGAGAUGGCCUUGUUACCUUCAGCUUUUAUUACUAUACAUAAGUAGCUUGGUAGGUAUUUAGUUAAUAACCUUAAUAAAAAAUCGAUGUCGUAGUAUGACAGAUAAAUGAAAUUAAGAAACUUAAAAAAAUCUUCCGACGUACUGUUUCAACUCAUGUAAUUUUGAUGUAUGGUAUAUGACAGAUACGUGAAUCUACAAAAUAGGAAAAUUCGAGAGAUGUCAUGAACACUCGCAUCGCAUCGCAACGCGCGACGGCGAGAACACAAAAUUGUGAAAUGAUUGUCGACUGCCGAGGCGAUGUGCAUGGCUGGACAUUUUUAACAAACGAUUGCGCGGUGGAAUUACUCUCGUGCCGCACCUGUAAUUCUGCGCUCAAAACUCACUAGUUUAAUUACUCUCUCAUCUCUGCAUGUUUCCGGUUGCGUUCGGGGUUGUGAAGCCGCGGAAACUUUGGUCAGCGUAAACCUUAAAACUUUGAAGAUUCGGCUGUGAUUUUAUAUACACAUAAGUUAUUUUAGGUAAAAGCUUAUGAGACUUUUAAAACAAAUACUGAUGUCUGGGUCAUAUACAUAUGUAAUUAUAGAUAUAAAAUACAGAAACUUAAAAGUUUCUAUAUUGAAUAUUCUAUAUUUUAAUACUUAGUUUCUCUCGGCUGAAUUCUCUCAGUGUCGCCUCGACACCCUAAUAGCUAGUAGUAGCAGUAGUAACGCAUUGGUUUUAACGGAUUUUCAGCAAUUUAUAAAAUAGACUGAAAUUCCAUUAUUAUUUAUUUAUUUAACUUCAUCAAAAUAAGCCCAAGAAAAAUGGGAUUUACCUAUUUCCAAAGUUCAAAGGAUUUUCAGUUAGUCAUCUUAAAUAGAUGACUAACUGAAAAUCCUUUGAACUAUGUAAAGGGAAAUUACAAAGCUAAAGCACAGAUUGUAAUAACAUGUUAUUUACUUCUAUACAAAAUAACCUAUUAAGAUAUAAAUUAAAAAUUUUAAAAAUAAUAUUGUUCUCUCUGUUGUCGCUACGUUCUUUGAUAACGCAAAAUUAUAUUAUUCUUAACAGAAAUGGAAUAUAACAAAAAGAAAUUUGAGAAACGAGUGUAUUUUUGUUUAAUUAAAGCUGUGUUGUAUUCAUAUUUAUUAAUAUUAAAUUCUGGGUACGGCGCCGCUCCACGGGACAAGCCUACGGCUUCAACAGAAAAUAAUGAAUUACGAACAAGAACGAGAGAAACAUGUUCAGAUGGUUCCAUAUCUU